rnacentral:rRNA from 1 species
AGGUUAAGUGAAUAAGGGCGCACGGUGGAUGCCUUGGCACUAGGAGCCGAUGAAGGACGGGACUAACACCGAUAUGCUUUGGGGAGCUGUACGUAAGCUAUGAUCCAGAGAUUUCCGAAUGGGGGAACCCAACAUCUUUAAUAGGAUGUUACGAUUGUGUGAAUACAUAGCACAUUCGAGGUAGACGCAGAGAACUGAAACAUCUAAGUACCUGCAGGAAGAGAAAGAAAAUUCGAUUCCCUGAGUAGCGGCGAGCGAAACGGGAAAAGCCCAAACCAGCAAGCUUGCUUGUUGGGGUUGUAGGACUCCAAUAUGGUMGUUCUUUCAGAUAGUCGAAUGACUUGGAAAAGUCAGUCAAAGAGGGUAAAAACCCCGUAGACGAAAUGUGGAAGACACCUAGGAGGAUCCUGAGUACGGCGGAACACGAGAAAUUCCGUCGGAAUCCGGGAGGACCAUCUCCCAAGGCUAAAUACUCCCUAGUGACCGAUAGUGAACCAGUACCGUGAGGGAAAGGUGAAAAGCACCCCGGAAGGGGAGUGAAAUAGAACCUGAAACCGUGUGCCUACAACAAGUCAAAGCCCGUUAAUGGGUGAUGGCGUGCCUUUUGUAGAAUGAACCGGCGAGUUACGAUUGCAUGCGAGGUUAAGUUGAAGAGACGGAGCCGCAGCGAAAGCGAGUCUGAAUAGGGCGUUUGAGUAUGUAGUCGUAGACCCGAAACCAUGUGAUCUACCCAUGUCCAGGUUGAAGGUGCGGUAAAACGCACUGGAGGACCGAACCCACGUACGUUGAAAAGUGCGGGGAUGAGGUGUGGGUAGCGGAGAAAUUCCAAACGAACUUGGAGAUAGCUGGUUCUCUCCGAAAUAGCUUUAGGGCUAGCCUCGGAAUUGAGAAUGAUGGAGGUAGAGCACUGUUUGGACUAGGGGCCCAUCUCGGGUUACCGAAUUCAGAUAAACUCCGAAUGCCAUUCAUUCAUAUCCGGGAGUCAGACUGUGAGUGAUAAGAUCCAUAGUCGAAAGGGAAACAGCCCAGACCACCAGCUAAGGUCCCAAAAUAUAUGUUAAGUGGAAAAGGAUGUGGGGUUGCACAGACAACUAGGAUGUUGGCUUAGAAGCAGCCAYCAUUUAAAGAGUGCGUAAUAGCUCACUAGUCGAGUGACCCUGCGCCGAAAAUGUACCGGGGCUAAACAUAUUACCGAAGCUGUGGAGUACACCUUUAGGUGUAUUGGUAGGAGAGCGUUCUAAGGGCGUCGAAGGCAGAUCGUGAGGACUGCUGGAGCGCUUAGAAGUGAGAAUGCCGGUAUGAGUAGCGAAAGACAGGUGAGAAUCCUGUCCACCGAAUGACUAAGGUUUCCUGGGGAAGGCUCGUCCGCCCAGGGUUAGUCGGGACCUAAGCCGAGGCCGACAGGCGUAGGCGAUGGAUAACAGGUUGAUAUUCCUGUACCCGUUGUUUUUGUUUGAGCAAUGGAGGGACGCAGGAGGCUAAGGAAUGCAGACGAUCGGAAAUGUCUGUCCAAGCAGUAAGUCUGAAGAGGAGUCAAAUGCUUCUUUUCUUAAGGACAAGCUGUGAUGGGGAGGGAAAUAAUAGUACCGAAGUUCCUGAUGUCACACUGCCGAGAAAAGCUUCUAGUGAGAAAACAGCGGCCCGUACCGCAAACCGACACAGGUAGUCGAGGAGAGAAUCCUAAGGUGAGCGAGAGAACUCUCGUUAAGGAACUCGGCAAAAUGACCCCGUAACUUCGGGAGAAGGGGUGCUGAUCAUACGAUCAGCCGCAGUGAAUAGGCCCAAGCGACUGUUUAUCAAAAACACAGGUCUCUGCAAAAUCGUAAGAUGAAGUAUAGGGGCUGACGCCUGCCCGGUGCUGGAAGGUUAAGAGGAGUGCUUAGCGCAAGCGAAGGUACGAAUUGAAGCCCCAGUAAACGGCGGCCGUAACUAUAACGGUCCUAAGGUAGCGAAAUUCCUUGUCGGGUAAGUUCCGACCCGCACGAAAGGCGUAACGAUUUGGGCACUGUCUCAACGAGAGACUCGGUGAAAUUUUAGUACCUGUGAAGAUGCAGGUUACCCGCGACAGGACGGAAAGACCCCAUGGAGCUUUACUGUAGUUUGAUAUUGAGUGUCUGUACCGCAUGUACAGGAUAGGUAGGAGCCGUAGAAAUCGGAACGCUAGUUUCGAUGGAGGCGCUGGUGGGAUACUACCCCUGCGUUAUGGCCACUCUAACCCGCACCACUAAUCGUGGUGGGAGACAGUGUCAGAUGGGCAGUUUGACUGGGGCGGUCGCCUCCUAAAAGGUAACGGAGGCGCCCAAAGGUUCCCUCAGAAUGGUUGGAAAUCAUUCGAAGAGUGUAAAGGCAGAAGGGAGCUUGACUGCGAGACCAACAAGUCGAGCAGGGACGAAAGUCGGGCUUAGUGAUCCGGUGGUUCCGCAUGGAAGGGCCAUCGCUCAACGGAUAAAAGCUACCCUGGGGAUAACAGGCUUAUCUCCCCCAAGAGUCCACAUCGACGGGGAGGUUUGGCACCUCGAUGUCGGCUCGUCGCAUCCUGGGGCUGUAGUCGGUCCCAAGGGUUGGGCUGUUCGCCCAUUAAAGCGGCACGCGAGCUGGGUUCAGAACGUCGUGAGACAGUUCGGUCCCUAUCCGUCGCGGGCGUUGGAAAUUUGAGAGGAGCUGUCCUUAGUACGAGAGGACCGGGAUGGACUUACCGCUGGUGUACCAGUUGUUCUGCCAAGGGCAUUGCUGGGUAGCUAUGUAGGGAAGGGAUAAACGCUGAAAGCAUCUAAGUGUGAAGCCCACCUCAAGAUGAGAUUUCCCAUUUCUUUAAGAAAGUAAGAUCCCUGAGAGAUGAUCAGGUAGAUAGGUCAGGAGUGGAAGUACAGUGAUGUAUGGAGCGGACUGAUACUAAUCGAUCGAGGACUUAACCAAU